rnacentral:rRNA from 1 species
AUUGAACGCUGGCGGCAGGCCUAACACAUGCAAGUCGAACGAGUGGCGGACGGGUGAGUAAUGUCUGGGAAACUGCCUGAUGGAGGGGGAUAACUACUGGAAACGGUAGCUAAUACCGCAUACCAUCAGAUGUGCCCAGAUGGGAUUAGCUAGUUGGUGGGGUAACGGCUCACCAAGGCGACGAUCCCUAGCUGGUCUGAGAGGAUGACCAGCCACAAUGGAACUGGAACCGGGUCCAGGGUCUGAGGGGAGGCAACAUGGGGGGAGAUUGCACAAUGGGCGCAAGCCGGAUGCAGCCAUGGCGCGUGUAUUAAGAAGUCCUUGGGGUUGUAAAGUACUUUCAUCGGGGAGGCGUUACCCGCAGAAGAAUCACCGGCAAACGCCGGGACAGCAGCCGCGGUAAUAC